rnacentral:rRNA from 1 species
UAGGGAAUCUUCCACAAUGGACGCAAGUCUGAUGGAGCAACGCCGCGUGAGUGAAGAAGGUUUUCGGACCGUAAAGCUCUGUUGUUGGUGAAGAAGGAUAGAGGUAGUAACUGGCCCUUUAUUUGACGGUAAUCAACCAGAAAGUCACGGCUAACUACGUGCCAGCAGCCGCGGUAAUCGUAGGUGGCAAGCGUUGUCCGGAUUUAUUGGGCGUAAAGCGAGCGCAGGCGGAAGAAUAAGUCUGAUGUGAAAGCCCUCGGCUUAACCGAGGAAUUGCAUCGGAAACUGUUUUCUUGAGUGCAGAAGAGGAGAGUAGAACUCCAUGUGUAGCGGUGGAAUGCGUAGAUAUAUGGAAGAAUACCAGUGGCGAAGGCGGCUCUCUGGUCUGCAACUGACGCUGAGGCUCGAAAGCAUGGGUAGCGAACAGGAUUAGAUACCCUUGGUAGUCCAUGCCGUAAACGAUGAGUGCUAAGUGUUGGGAGGCUUCCGCCUCUCAGUGCUGCAGCUAACGCAUUAAGCACUCCGCCUGGGGGAGUACGACCGCAAGGUUGAAAC